GUGUGAAUUAACCAAACGAAAACAACAUGGUAGACAUCUUUGGAGACGAGCAAACAUUUUACUUCGCUUUUUUUACUUUCACACUAGCCACGAUUGUGGCUGCUUUUAUCCUUUCUAGGUUUAUAACUCUCAACCCAUCGUAUCACAACUAAAAGAGUCUCAAACUGCCAGAAGAUGAAAUUAGCUGCACACAAGGAAUCUGCAGAUACAUGUAAAGAUAUUCCUCGCCGGUAUAGCAGAUAUCAUUGAAAGAACUGUGUUGUCCCUCUACAAGGAGAAAUAUCCUGAAAGAAUUUAGCAAUAUAACUAAUUAGAUGCAUGUAUUAUACUUCAUGGUUCAGUUCAGUUCUUGUCUGUCGAUAUGAUAGGAAAUAAGACUCUAAAGAAAAGUAUUCCUCAGUCUUGCAAGAACAUGUCUACAGCUCUAAGUGGAUAACAUAGAUUGUUUUGCUUAUGGUAUAUUGUAAAAAUUGAAAAUUUAUUUAUUUACAUUGCACAAGUUGUAUUUAAAACCUUGUUUGUGGCUAUCAAUAAAAAUAGUGUUCAAAGUGUAA